UCCUACGGGAGGCAGCAGUGGGGAAUAUUGGACAAUGGGGGCAACCCUGAUCCAGCCAUGCCGCGUGUGUGAAGAAGGCCCUCGGGUUGUAAAGCACUUUCAGCGAGGAAGAACGCCUAGCGGUUAAUACCCGCUAGGAAAGACAUCACUCGCAGAAGAAGCACCGGCUAGCUCCGUGCCAGCAGCCGCGGUAAUACGGAGGGUGCAAGCGUUAAUCGGAAUUACUGGGCGUAAAGCGCGCGUAGGUGGCUUGAUAAGCCGGUUGUGAAAGCCCCGGGCUCAACCUGGGAACGGCAUCCGGAACUGUCAAGCUAGAGUGCAGGAGAGGAAGGUAGAAUUCCCGGUGUAGCGGUGAAAUGCGUAGAGAUCGGGAGGAAUACCAGUGGCGAAGGCGGCCUUCUGGACUGACACUGACACUGAGGUGCGAAAGCGUGGGUAGCAAACAGGAUUAGAUACCCUGGUAGUCCACGCCGUAAACGAUGUCGACCAGCCGUUGGGUGCCUAGCGCACUUUGUGGCGAAGUUAACGCGAUAAGUCGACCGCCUGGGGAGUACGGCCGCAAGGUUAAAACUCAAAUGAAUUGACGG
rnacentral:rRNA from 1 species